UGUACCGUUAGGUCGCGCAUGUGUCCUGCCAUAUACAUUUAUUUUGCAGUAUGUUUGUUAUACGUUGAUUUGUCGACGAUUUUAACCUUUCCGUUUAUGAAUAAAAAUUACGGCAUGGCAGUAAUUGGAUUGCGUGUAGGAAUGAAGAGUCGAGGUCUCUCUAUCUGUCGAUGCUAUUCAAAUUACAAAACUGAAAAAGAAGGGGAACAGUGUCAUGAAUAUCAAAAACAAAACCCAUGGAGGAGUUUGAAACAAUUUUCAGAUUCUCUCACAUCAAAUAUAAUCUAUAAUAAAGAUGACCUCAUAGUUCUAAACAAGCCAUAUGGAAUAGGAUUUUCACCUCCACCUGAAAUGGCAACACAACAUUCAAGACGCAGAGGUAACAUACUUGUUGGGCAAAAACAGUACUAUCUAACUGAGGCUCUACCACACAUAGCUGGAAAUUUAGGCUACAACAGUUUGACUGUCCUCAAGAAACCAGAAAGGUAUACGAGUGGGGUAACAGUGUUGUCAUCUUGUGAAAAAGUGUUGGAGAAAGUUAAAAAAUGUAUAAAGAAAGCCAGUGGUCGUCAACAGUUAUGUGCCCAUUAUUGGGCUGUUGUCAUAGGAAAUCCUCAACCAGAUUCAGCAUUUCUCAAAUUAGGCUUGACACUUAAAGAAAAUCCGUGUAUAAGUAAUGACAAACAGCCUGUAGUCAUGCAGAAGUGGUCAAACAAAGCUGUGAAACAAGGAGAUGUGAAGGUGUUUAGGGUAGAACAUCACACAUUGUACAGACAGAACUUCGCAAGUCUAGUAGAGAUAUGCCCAUCUGCUACCAAAUGGCAUUUCCUUCGUGUGUACCUUGCACACUUGCUGAGUCCUGUGUUGGGUGACAAUAUGUAUGGAUCUCGGGUACAUCAGGUGAUGGGUGUGCCUCUUGCCAUUAACCCAUGCAGUGAUGCUGCUAGAGGCCCGAAGGGAGGUGAAUAAACAAGUGUUAAUUGUGGGAGACAGGUCAGCCAUCUCUUGGCAGGAUUGAAGGAUUAAAGUUCUAAGCGAAUUACUAGUCUCAUCCAUCACUUGGAAUAGAUCAGGAAGUAUAGUAACUAAGCUCUAAGCUGUAGGACCAGUAUUCAAUUCCUGGCAGGGCAGGAUUUUUUCCAAGUGUGAAGAACCUGCCACAAAAGCUGCUAGAAGCGCUAUCAAUUAAACCUGGCCAAGAAAUAAUCAUACCAACCCAUUUACAUCUUAGAAGACUAAUUCUGCCGCACUAUCUGGGAAAAGAUAGUGACUUAAUAAUUGAAGCACC